UACGUAGGGGGCAAGCGUUGUCCGGAUUUAUUGGGCGUAAAGAGCGUGUAGGCGGCCAGAUAGGUCCGUUGUGAAAACUGGAGGCUUAACCUCCAGCGGUCGAUGGAAACCAUUUUGGCUAGAGUCCGGAAGAGGAGAGUGGAAUUCCUGGUGUAGCGGGUGAAAUGCGCAGAUAUCAGGAGGAACACCCGUGGCGAAAGCGGCUCUCUGGGACGGUACUG
rnacentral:rRNA from 1 species